CACUUUUUCCUCUACCACUGUUUUCUUCCUCAAGACUAUAAUGAUGACUACUAUGAGGAGAGCUAUUUGACUACCAGGACAUACGGGGAGCCCGAGUCUGUGGGCAUGUCCAAGAGCUUCCGCCGGCCAGGGACCUCACUUGUAGAUGCUGAUGAUACCUUCCAUCACCAGGUGAGUUGUCUGGUAGGCAUACCUGGGGUGUAUGUAGCCUUAGGGAAUUCUAGGUUUGGAUAGUUCAAGGAGAUACUAGGUGCAGAGAGUGGAUCUUAGGCCUUCAAGUAUGGUUAGGAUCAGCAUACAGUUGUUGGCUCAAAAGUUCUACGUUGGAACCUCCAAAACUAUUAGAUUUGGGGAUGAGCAUAUAUAGCUCAGUAGAAGAGCAUUUACCUAUGGUUUCAUCUCCAGCAUCCAGCAGCACACACAAAUGUUUUUGGGGUUUUGGCAUUUUUAAAAAUUUAAUUACUUUAAUUAUACCUAUGUGUAGCCAAUUUUUUGUUAGUUUGUGGGUUCCCCUCACCCUUUCACCCCCAAUCAUUAGAUAGAGAAAGAGAGCUAAAGAUCCCUGAAUCUAAUUUCUUUCUUCCUUGUGUCUUCUUUGACCCCAGCUACUAGCAAACUGUAACCAACCUCACCUAUUGGGGCUCUAGUAUUUACAUACCCUCUGAAAAAUUCCCAGAAUUCCAAAUACCACAAAAUUGCAGAAACUAUCUGCAACUCAAAAGCAUGAAGCAAAUCAUAGCUGCUGUAAAACAGCCCCAU
rnacentral:lncRNA from 1 species